CAAUGGCUAUAACAAAGAGAAGCGAGACGGAGACGUUAAGCGAAACCCAAAAAAGUAGUCUCAGUUCGGAUUGGAGGCUGAAACCCGCCUCCAUGAAGUUGGAUUCGCUAGUAAUCGCGCAUCAGCCAUGGCGCGGUGAAUACGUUCCCGGGCCUUGUACACACCGCCCGUCAAGCCAUGGGAGCUGGGGGUGCCUGAAGUUCGUGACCGCAAGGAUCGACCUAGGGCAAAACCGGUGACUGGGGCUAAGUCGUAACAAGGUAUC
rnacentral:rRNA from 1 species